UAAUGAUCUUGUGUGUGUUCAUUACAACUUGCGAUUGAAGAAUAGGAAGUAUUACAAAACAAGGAAUUAUGAUCCCAUUGACAUUGAAAGCAUUGACAAAACCGAGUUUUGGAUUAUUGAAGAAGAAAGACUAGAACAAGAGGAGCCUCCAUUGCUUGAUUAUGAUGAGCUCGAAAAAAUGCUUUAU